rnacentral:tRNA from 1 species
GGGCGGAUGGUUUAGUGGUAUAAUACUCCCUUAGCAUGAUUACACCUACCAGGUUUUCAUUGGGAGUGGUCCGGGGUUCGAUUCCCCGUUCGUCCA